rnacentral:miRNA from 1 species
AUCUACCUCGUUGACCGGAAGAGUUUCCUUCCGGUCAACGAGGAUGUACCUCGUUGAUCGGAAGGAACCCCUUCCGAUCAAAGAGGUAGAU